rnacentral:rRNA from 1 species
UGAGUAAUCUGCCCUCCACUUUGGGAUAGCCACCGGAAACGGUGAUUAAUACCGGAUAUGACCUUGGCCCGCAUGGGUUGUGGUGGAAAGUUUUUCGGUGGGGGAUGUGCUCGCGGCCUAUCAGCUUGAUGGGUGGGGUGAUGGCCUACCAAGGCGACGACGGGUAGCCGGCCUGAGAGGGUGACCGGCCACACUGGGACUGAGACACGGCACAGACUCCGUACGGGAG